UAGAGGCAGGGUUUCACUAUAUUACCCAGGCUGGUCUCAGAAUCCUGGGCUCCAGAGACUCAGUGCUGGGAUUACGGGCAUGAACCACCUUGCGUGGCCUGUUUGAAUAGCAAGGUGGUGGGGCUGAUCCAACUGGGAGGGACUGGCUGCUUCCUGCCCCCAGCUGCAGGGCCUCUGGGCUCCCUAAAAGGUAAGUGAGGCUACCUGCCCCUCCUCCUCACCGGCCCAUCAACAACAGAGUGUGCAAUGUUCCUCUGCCCACUCUACCCCCACAUGAGCCAAGAUCUCCCUGAUCAUUCAGAUCUCACAGGCUUGACCCUACUCUACAUAUUGAAAAGUUCCAGUCCUCCCCCCAACUGUAGGAAUUUCCUAGACCUUUUGGUCAGGCACACUGGCUCAUGACUGUAAUCCCAGGACUUUGGGCAGAUCACUUGAGGUCAGGAGUUGGAGACCAGCCUGGCCAACAUGGUGAAACCCUGACUCUACUAAAAAUACAAAAAUAAGCUGGGCAUGGCAGUGAGUGCAUGUAGUUCCAGCUACUGUGGAGGCUGAGACAGGAGAAUCACUUAAACCCAGGAGCUGAGGUCACAGGGAGUCAAGAUCGUACCAGUAUACCCGAGCUUGGGGAACAGAAUAAGAUUCUGUCUCAAAAAACAACAAUUUCCUACACCUUCCAGCUCCUGUCCUUGGCACCCGCACACACUGGCCCAUGCUGCUAAAGACCCAGGGGGCAGAUCAGACAUGACAUCAGACAUCUGUGUCUCCAAAAUAGGACAGCUUGUUUCUGUCCUGGCCUCACCCCCUACCUCCGCUGUCAUGCUGCCCUCUGUCCUCCUCCACCUCAUUAUGGGAUUUCCUAGAACAAGGACAGCCCUUCCCCGAGAGGCACCCUAAUGUUCUCCAUGGCAGAGCUCUUCCUGCAGACCUGUGAGCUCCCCCUCUGCAGACAAAAGCAGCAAGGCUCGGCUAGGCAUAGCGACUUGUCCCGUGUGUUCCCUCUAGGAACUAUUCAGUAGUGAUGAUGUUGGCACUGCUGGCUCAGGGGAAUGAGCCCCUGGACAUGGCCCAGGUGACCAGCUACCUGAUGGAGUAGAAGCUGCUGCAGCAGCUCCGAGAGCUGUCCAGGGCCAAUGUGCUGGCCAAGUUCUACCAGCUAAGAUGCAGCCUGCUGCAGGGUCUCUGGGAGUAUGAGUCCUGCCCCGGGCUGUGCUACCCUCCUCCCUGGGAGCCCCCUGCCCUGUGGGCACAGCAGCAGGGCCAUGCAGAGGCAGGUACUGUGGGGGCACAGGGAAGCCUGCAGAGGCUCAUGGCAUCACAGUGCCAGGCCCAGCUUAUUGGAAUUCCCAAGGUCCUAUGGGACUCGGGCUGAGGCAGCACAUCCUGCUUUUCUCCAGAUUAUAAGGCCUGGCCUAGCAGCAGUACAGCCAAGGGCGGUGCUGGGAUGACCAGCUCUGGGCUCCUGGGGAGCUUGCGUGUUGCUCAGGUGAGUCUGCUAACCUCCGUGGACUCAGCUUCCUCCACUGUCAAAUGCAAGUAACCAUGUGGCUCCCUCACAUGGGUAAGGGGCAUGUGCGGUUCUUAAUACAUGAGGGAGGCCCUCACGUCCAUGGGGGAGCCAUAGUACCCAGGCUUGGCAAGGAGCGGUUUAUCUGUGUGGGACUCACACGGAGGCCUACGGCUCCCUAGAAGCGUGGGUGUAGUCAGGAUUAAGCAGCACGCUGAUCUUGUAGAAAAUAGCCUGGUCUUCAAGUUCUAUGUGUGUGUGACCAUGGAAUUCUCUGUGCCCCUCAGUUCUGACAGCUGACCAGGGGGCUGGUAGUCCCUCCCUUGGGAUGCUGGCCCUGGCCAUCAGGUGUCUGGCUGUGCACGAUGGAUGGUGCUUUCCUGCCAUGGGCAUGAGCACCCCCAAUGCACAGCUCGGGGCAGCGCUGGCUGGACUGGUCAGACCUGCUCCUUCACAGGCCAUCUCUUCCCUAUUUGGAAGACAGCAGUUCUGCAGGACACUGCUGUCAUGUUUGAGGGAGCCGUUGGCCAUCCACUUAAACAGUCAGUGUUUCCCCCUCACCCCAGUAGUUUCCUUGAGAUUAAGUGGUUGACUUGUAUGAUUCUUUUUUUUGAGACUAGAUCUCACACUGUUGUCAUGGUUGGACAUGGUUGGAGUGCAGUGGUACGAUCUUGGCUCCCUGCACUCUUGACCUCCAGGGUUCAAGUGUCCUCCUACCUCAGCCCGGCAAAGUGCUGGGAUGGCUUAGCGCCACUGUACCUGGCCGAUGUGUGAAUUUCAAGUGCACGAUUCAGUAGCUUCUAGAUUAUUCAGAGUUGUGCAUGCCUCACCACAAUCGAUUUUAAAACAUUUUUAUCCUAAAAUGAAACCCUGCAGCUGCCAGCCUGCCUGCUCUGUCCAUGGCUAUGCCUGCUGUGGACAUCUGAUGUAAACAGAAGCAUGACUAUGUGGCCUCUGAGCCAGGCUUUAUUACUUAGCACAGCAAUUUUGUAGUGGGUCUGGGAACUCCAUUCCUUGUUAGGGCUGAAUUGGGCCAUAGCCCUUCAGCUCACGUCAUCCUGAAGCAGGUGAGGGAUCGCUGGGCCUCUGGCUGCUGCACCAGGGGAGGGGGACUCCUGGCCUCAGGGCAGACUAAGCCGGGGCUCUAGGCAUUGGGGUGUCCAGAAGGCAUUGGGCUCCCACUGCAGUGGGUGGAGCUGGCUCCACUCACCCUGCCUUUGGGGCUGAUUCUCCCCAGAUCAUGCCCUGGUGGCCCAGGCCCAGCAUGUGGUGACUUCUGACAGCCAGGUGUGGGACCUCAGUACCCAGUGUGGCAGCAUCUUGCUGGCCCAAGACUUUGCUCACAACACAUUCUCCCCGAUGCUGAGUCAGACAGACUCGGGGCUCAUGGCCCUGAUUGUGGAGCUGAACCACCUGACCUUCAUCUUCUACCCCAGGCUGCAGGCCUACAGGCUGUACAACUCCUCCCUGCCGGGGGAGAGCUGUCUAGACCUCCAGCUGCCUCUUGCCAUGAAAAGGAGGGACAUCCCCAGGAUUGAGCUGGCCAGUGAGGACAGGGUCUCCAUGUCCUGUGACGUGCCCACCGGCCUCUGCAGCCUGACUCUGGGCCUCUGGCACCACGGUGAGUCUGGGCCCCAGCAGGGUUGGCCCCACCACCAAGAGCCUCUUCGGGAUGCACCAUUCUCAGCUUCCAUUGUGACAGGUCCCCGGGGCUAUAGGCGGCCAUUGUGGUUGAGAUGAAAGCACCGAGGCCCAGGGCUUUCUGCCCACAUCCCUGGGAUAUGUGGCUCCAAGGUGGAGUUGGCCUUUCUGUGGUCCCUCUGCCAAGGACACAAAGGGCAGGCCUGGAUUCCGGCCACUCGGGCUGAGAACGUGGAGAGGGGAUGCGGGGACACACGCUGUCAUCAGUCCCUGCUUUCUCUCCCUCUUCUGAUGAGAGUUUGCAGCCAGAGCCCUGGGCUUCGGGAGUCCGGGAUGGAGGGAUUCUACCAAUACUCCGUGUGCCUCAGGCUUGUCUCUCGUACAGGUCCCCUGGGGGAGGAUCAUGGGCUUUCAGAACCACCUCAGCUUCCCUCCUCCCCACAGGCAUAUCGGCUGGCCUUCUGAGCACCACCGACAAUGAAGCAGGCAACGAUCUGAUGUUGCUGGACGGCUCUGUGGCCCACAUCCUGGAGGAGCUCAGCCUGGCCUGACAGUUGAGCAGGUGCGCCUGCCCUUCCGCCCUCUGGCUGAGGCUCUUCAGGGCUGCUCGCUGCAGAGUCCCAGGAGAGGCAGGUGGCCUGCUGGCUCUGCAGAGGUCUUUGCAGGCCCAGGGUUGGGGGGAGUCUCCUGCUGAGACCGAUGCAUGUGGGGGAGCCACAUGGUCCAGCGGGGAGCCUGAGUCUUGUGUCUGUCCUGCCAGGUGGAUGGUGACUGUAGGGCGACCGAUAAGACUCAGCAGGCCUGCCCAGGACAGAGCCCCGCCUGCCCGGCCUUCCAGGACCCCUACUCCAGCUUGAGGAACUGCUUCUGGGUGUUUAAGAUUUCAUCUAAGCCAGCACUAGGCUGCCAAAGACUUCAAACUCCUUCACCUUCUACUCUAAUUCCAGCUUCUUGACAAGGGCAAGAUUCUUGGCAGGGACAGAGUAACCAGCAUGGAACACCGGGAAACUCAGAGCCACACGUGCUUCAAAUGCAGGAAGAAGAGCUGUUUGUCAUUGCACUCAAAAUGCUUCUGAGGACAUGAAACUCUCCCACUGGUCUGGGUAAUUCUCCCCCUUCCUCCACAUCUCCACUGUAAACCAAGAGACAGCAUGGCCUGCGAGUCCCAGCCCUGCAGAGAGAGCUCUAUCGGCUUCUGUUCAUGCUCAAGGUAUUUAUUAACUUAUUCAACAGCCAUGUGGGAAGCCACCGCUUCAGAAUGCUGACUGUGUGCAGGGGGACACGAAGUCAGGUUCUCAGCUCCCUGGUCCUAGCUUUCCCUGCCUGACCCAGGGAUCUCCUGAGGCAGGAGCUUCUUUGAGGGGAACUGAUAGCUCUUCAGAAGCCUGAUAGAGAGCUGUUCUCUGGGGUAGACACACAGGGACUGAAGGGUUUCGAGGGCCUCUGUUUUGGUAGGGCACCUGUGAACUCAGGCUCCCAGGCUAGAGCAUUCAAAGUUGUUUUCUUUUUACUUUCUUUU